GUUCCGGUUCAGGGUUGGAGCGAGCGGUCGCAUCUACACUUCGGUCCGCAGGAGAGAGACCAGACUCUCCAUCUGACAGCAAGAAGAGUCCUUCAGGGGAACCAGGCCCUGAAACGUCCAAACCAGCAGGACGACAUCACUGCUCCCAGUGUGGAAAGAAAGCCUGAAAACACAGAAGAGAAGCCUUACCACUGCUCCUUGUGCAGAAAGAGUUUUAGGUGGUUAAAAUGUGUGGGAAGGCAUGAGAGAACACACAGAGGAGAAAAGCCUUUCCAAUGUUCCCAUUGUGGAAAGAGUUGUACCCAGUUAGGGAGCCUGAAGGAGCAUGAGAGGACACACACAGGAAAAAAUACAUACCGCUGCUCCCACUGUGGAACGAAAUUUACCCGGUUAAGGUACCUGAAGGAGCAUGAAAUAAUACAUACAAAUACACAGGAGGAGAAGACAUACCACUGCUCUCAUUGCGGAAAGACAUUUUCCACGUCAGAGGACCUGAAAACACAUGAGAGAAUAGAGAGGCUGUGUUCUGACUUGUGUUUUUGACUGAGAAUUUGUGUUUUUGUUUGGGCUGUCAGACUUGAGAACAUUAAUUGCUAUUAAUCCAUUGUCUGAAAGGGUUAAAAACACACUGAAAACAUCCAAAAUACAUACUGUAUACUGCUAAAAUCUACAAUGCCAUGUAAAAACAAGAUGACAUUGUACUAUUUUUUAAAUGGUAUAACCUUUUGCUGGACCCCAGGAAGAGUAGCUGCUCCCUUGGCAGGAACUAAUGGGGAUCCAUAAUAAACCCCAGGAAGAGUAGAAUUUGUAGUUCAUUAUGAUAUCCACUUUAGCUGCUAAUUAGCAUUUAAUUUUAUAUAUUGAUAUUGUCCGAUAGAUUUACAUAGUUAUCAAAACGUCACCCUAGGAAAAGUCUUCGUGAAACUCAGACCUUUUUUAAAGUAUUUCUACAAUCCCCUGUGGGAAAAAUGAAUGGUGGAAAAACGAUUGGAACCAUUUCCCUGUUUGACCAUUAAGUUUUAUGGGUAUUAUGACACCUCCACUGUGGGGCUCUAUUCGGCUUUUCAGCUUCCCAUACUUGUUGCUAGCAGUAGCCAGUAGGCACGAGCCAGCCAGAAUCUCUGUGCAAAGCAUUGCACCCUGGGAAAUGAAAUGCACUCUGGGAAUCGUAGUAUGUUGUAUAAUUUCCAUUUUAAUUCAAUGCCGUGUAAACUAUUGUAAUGGAGAAGCUUAAAAAAUUAGCUUAAACAUUUUUAAUGUUUUGGAACUGAACUAUUGAUUUGAUACAUUCAAUUAUUAAUCUAAUGGGAUAUAGGUCAACAAAUUGAAUAUAGAAUAGAAAAUAUAAUAUAGAAUAGAAUAUAUAAUAUAGAACAUAAUAUAUAACAGAAUAUAUAAUAUAGAACAGAAUAUAGAACAGAAUAUAUAAUAUAGAACAUCAUAUAUAACAGAAUAUAUAAUUUAGAAUAGAAUAUAGAAUAGUUAUAAUUUAGAUCAUAAUAUAUAUAAAAAAAUAUGUAAUAUAGAACAUAUGUAAUAUAUAACAGAAUACAGAAUAGAAUAUAUAAUAUAGAACAUAAUAUAUAACAAAAUAUAUAACAUAGAACAUAAGAUAGAAUAUAGAAUAUAAUAUAUAACAUAAUAAUAUAUAAUAUAAUAUAUAACAUAGAACAUAAUAUAUAACAGAAUAUAUAAUAUAGAACAUCAUAUAUAAUAUAGAACAUCAUAUAUAGCAGAAUAUAUUAUUUAGAAUAGAAUAUAGAAUAGUUAUAAUUUAGAUCUUAAUAUACCAAAUAAUAUGUAAUAUAGAACCUAAUAUAUAAUGUAUAACAGAAUAUAUAAUAUAGAAUAGUAUAUAUAGUAUAGAACAUAAUAUGUAACAUAAUAUAUAAUAUAAAAUAGAAUAUAGAAUUGUUACGUUCCCCAGUUUAUGUGUUGUAGUUUGUAUGUUUGCAUGUGUUUAUUUCAGGAAAUGGCUUCCUGAAAUCCCUCAAGCAGCUGAUUGGUCGACUCCAUGGCUAAUUGGAGAGCUGACCCCACCCCCUCGUCAAGACGCAGCUGUCUCCAAUUACCCAUUCAUUCUGAAGCUGUGCCAGUGUUCUGUUCAGGAGAGAGCGAUUUUGCUGAGAGUUGGUAUGUUUUGUGAGUUUGUUGCUCAGAUAGAGCUUAUUUGAUGUCCUUUGUUUCUUAGUUUGUUUGUGAAAUUGUUUAAUAUUCUGUUUCAUUUGUUCCCAGGGGGGAAGGGGAAGGGGAAGGCACCUAGGGAGUGCUUAGGCAAGAGGCCCGCGGGCAUACAUAUACCCGUAGCAUAUUCGCUGUCUCGGCACACUAGGUAAGACCUGGGCGGAACACCCCCUUGUAUUUUGGUUAGGGCACCAGGUGGUGCUAAAUUAGGUAAGUAGUGGGUAGGCAGGUAAGAUAGGAGAGGGGGGGCUUUGAGAUUUACUUUCUUUGCUUUGGUUCCGUCCAGGCCCUUUUCCCCAUAUUAACGUAUGAAGGAAUAAAGUCCUGGUAAACGGUA